AUUGAACCGCUGGCGGCAUGCCUUACACAUGCAAGUCGAACGGUAACGCGGGGCAACCUGGCGACGAGUGGCGAACGGGUGAGUAAUAUAUCGGAACGUGCCCAAUAGUGGGGGAUAGCCCGGCGAAAGCCGGAUUAAUACCGCAUACGACCUGAGGGUGAAAGCGGGGGAUCGCAAGACCUCGCGCUAUUGGAGCGGCCGAUAUCAGAUUAGGUAGUUGGUGGGGUAAAGGCCUACCAAGCCUACGAUCUGUAGCUGGUCUGAGAGGACGACCAGCCACACUGGGACUGAGACACGGCCCAGACUCCU
rnacentral:rRNA from 1 species